rnacentral:rRNA from 1 species
GACAGAGGGUGCAAACGUUGUUCGGAAUUACUGGGCGUAAAGCGCGUGUAGGCUGCUUCGAAAGUCAGGUGUGAAACCUCCAGGCUCAACCUGGAGACGCCACUUGAUACUUCUAUGACUUGAGUUUGGUAGGGGAACACGGAAUUCCUGGUGUAGCGGUGAAAUGCGCAGAUAUCAGGAGGAACACCAACGGCGAAGGCAGCUUGCUGGGACGGUACUGACGCUGAGAUGCGAAAGCGUGGGGAGCAAACAGG